UAGGGAAUCUUCGGCAAUGGACGAAAGUCUGACCGAGCAACGCCGCGUGAGUGAAGAAGGUUUUCGGAUCGUAAAACUCCGUUGUUAGAGAAGAACAAGGACGUUAGUAACUGAACGUCCCCUGACGGUAUCUAACCAGAAAGCCACGGCUAACUACGUGCCAGCAGCCGCGGUAAUACGUAGGUGGCAAGCGUUGUCCGGAUUUAUUGGGCGUAAAGCGAGCGCAGGCGGUUUCUUAAGUCUGAUGUGAAAGCCCCCGGCUCAACCGGGGAUGGUCAUUGGAAACUGGGAGACUUGAGUGCAGAAGAGGAGGGUGGAAUUCCAUGUGUAGCGGUGAAAUGCGUAGAUAUAUGGAGGAACACCAGUGGCGAAGGCGGCUCGCUGGUCUGUAACUGACGCUGAGGCUCGAAAGCGUGGGGAGCAAACAGG
rnacentral:rRNA from 1 species